rnacentral:lncRNA from 1 species
CAGGCUGUUCUUUCCUCCUUGACGGCUCUGGCUGUGGUAGGACCCUCGAUCGAUCUUUCCUACCCUCAGGCUGGCAUCGGAUAGAUCUGUCGAGCCGACCUCAUCUGAUGAGCUCCUCGAUCUCGUCUCGGAGCUGAAUACACUCCUCCGUGUCAUGGUCGUGGUCACGAUGAUAGAGGCAGAACUUGUUAGGGUUGCACUUCCCG